AACGCUGGCGGCGUGCUUAACACAUGCAAGUCGAGCGAUGAAGCACCUUCGGGUGUGAAUUAGCGGCGAACGGGUGAGGAACACGUGAAGAAUCUGCCUUCAACUCUGGGAUAACUCCGGGAAACCGGGGCUAAUACCGGAUAUGAGCCUUGAUCGCAUGAUCGGGGCUGGAAAGUUUUUCGGUUGAAGAUGACUUCGCGGCCUAUCAGCUUGUUGGUGAGGUAAUGGCUCACCAAGGCGACGACGGGUAGCCGGCCUGAGAGGGCGACCGGCCACACUGGGACUGAGACACGGCCCAGACUCCUACGGGAGGCAGCAGUGGGGAAUAUUGGGCAAUGGAGGAAACUCUAACCCAGCGACGCCGCGUGAGGGAUGAAGGCCUUCGGGUUGUAAACCUCUUUCAGUAGGGAAGAAGCGAAAGUGACGGUACCUACAGAAGAAGCACCGGCUAACUAUGUG
rnacentral:rRNA from 1 species